CCUACGGGAGGCAGCAGUGGGGAAUAUUGCACAAUGGGGGGAACCCUGAUGCAGCGACGCCGCGUGGGUGAAGGAGUAUUUCGGUAUGUAAAGCCCUAUCAGCAGGGAAGAACAAUGACGGUACCUGACUAAGAAGCACCGGCUAAAUACGUGCCAGCAGCCGCGGUAAUACGUAUGGUGCAAGCGUUAUCCGGAUGUACUGGGUGUAAAGGGAGCGCAGGCGGCGCGUUAAGCCUGGUGUGAAAGUCCGCGGCCCAACCGCGGGACUGCAUUGGGAACUGGCGCGCUGGAGUGCCGGAGGGGUAGGUGGAAUUCCUGGGGUAGCGGUGAAAUGCGUAGAUAUUAGGAGGAACACCAGUGGCGAAGGCGGCCUACUGGACGGUGACUGACGCUGAGGCUCGAAAGCGUGGGGAGCAAACAGGAUUAGAUACCCCUGUAGUC
rnacentral:rRNA from 1 species